AUAUAAUGUACGACUGGUAGUUCAAGCAACUGAUAUGUUUAAUUUGACCGGGACUGCAACAGUUGAUCUCACCAUCACUGAUGUCAAUCAACCACCAAUCAUAGUCAAUCUGCCAAAAACCGUCACAAUGGCGGCCAAUGUCGGCUCUGGCACCAAAAUCUUCACAGUAGAAACAACAGACCCAGAUUCUGGUGACGUCAGCACUGUUGGAUAUCAAUAUCAACUGCGUAGUUCACAGAAUAAUUUUGAUAUUGAUAGUUCCACUGGUGUCGUCACAAUCAAAGAUGGAGCUACAUUUGUAUAUGGCAGUAAUCCAAUCCAAAUAGAGUUCACAGCAACAGACGGAACAGCCUUUUCUGAAAUGUCUCUUCUAACUAUUGAAAUAACCCCAGCGGUAUCGGAACCCGCCUUUUUGUCUAAACCAGAGAAUUUAGGCUGGUUUGUACCAUUAAUGAUAUUGCUAGGAUUGGCCCUGUUAGGUCUACUCGGUUUUCUACUCUAUAAAUUCUGUUGUAAUGGUGGUUAUGGUGGGCGACGCAGUAGAAUAUUUGAUUCUGAGAAUCCAAAACGAUUAGUAAGAAAGCAGACUCCACCAUCACCCAAACCUCCACCACAUACUAAAUUUGAGCCCAAUAUGAAAGUAAAAAUAAGUAAAUUACAAUUUCCAAGAAUUUAUAAAUGGGUUCCAGAAUAAAUCCGUAAAAUCAGAGGAGAUGAAGGAAUCUAUGGUGGAUACCGAACAUGCAGUGGGCAACGUGGGAUCGGAGUAAUUUUACCUUUAUGAAUUAUGUA